GCCUGGGUGGCGGAAUUGGUUUACGCACGACACUUAAAAUGUCGCGAGCGAAAGCUCAUGAGGGUUCGACUCCCUCCCCAGGCA
rnacentral:tRNA from 1 species